rnacentral:piRNA from 1 species
UACUACAGUGAGGUGUCUGACUAAGC